rnacentral:lncRNA from 1 species
GUAAGAUACGCGCCACCUCAAGACCCCAGUUUGUAGCAUGCCGUGUUUUGACUUAGGAGCAGCCAAUUUGACAUGUCUGUGAAAGGAGGGAGUAUUGAUUCUUUCAGUCACGAAAACUACGUGAACUUUCAGAGCUCUCAGAAUUCCCAGUGCCUAGCACAGUGGCUUGCAACUCAAAACUUUUAUUCAGUGUGGAUGGAUGGAUGGAUAGAUUGAUGACUACAUGUUUGUAAGGAAGGUGUGGAAUCCAGCUGAAGGUGCAGCACAACCGUGAAAGGAACGACUCUAGGCAACAGGUGAGACAUUUAAGUGGAAUUCUACUGCUCUUUCUCUGUGAUAUGUUGCGUGCUUGCA